AAAAAAAUAAGUAAAAAAUAAGUAAAAAAUGAAAAAGAAAGGGAAAUAAAAAGAAGAAGUAAGGAAGUAAAAAAGGAAGUAAAAAAGGAAUAAAAAAGGAACUAAAAAGGAAGUAAAAAAGUAAAACAGGACGGGAAGUAAAAUAAGGAA